CCUACGGUAUGCAGCAGUGGGGAAUAUUGCGCAAUGUGCGAAAGCCUGACGCAGCGACGCCGCGUGAUGGAUGAAGGUCUUCGGAUCGUAAACCUCUGUCAGCAGGGAAGAACGGUCACUGUGCUAAUCAGCAGUGAAUUGACGGUACCUGCAAAGGAAGCACCGGCUAACUCCGUGCCAGCAGCCGCGGUAAUACGGAGGGUGCGCGCGUUAAUCGGAAUUACUGGGCGUAAAGCGCUCGUAGGCGGUAUGUCAAGUCACGGGUGAAAUCCCCGCGCUCAACGUGGGAACUGCCUUUGAAACGGGCAAACUGGAGUGUGUGAGAGGAUAGUGGAAUUCCAGGUGGAGGAGUGAAAUCCGUAGAUAUCUGGAGGAACAUCAGUGGCGAAGGCGACUAUCUGGCACAUAACUGACGCUGAGGAGCGAAAGCGUGGGUAGCAAACAGGAUUAGAUACCCCUGGAGUC
rnacentral:rRNA from 1 species